rnacentral:rRNA from 1 species
AGUGAACGCUGGCGGUAGGCCUAACACAUGCAAGUCGAACGGCAGCACAGUAAGAGCUUGCUCUUACGGGUGGCGAGUGGCGGACGGGUGAGGAAUACAUCGGAAUCUACUUUUUCGUGGGGGAUAACGUAGGGAAACUUACGCUAAUACCGCAUACGACCUACGGGUGAAAGCAGGGGAUCUUCGGACCUUGCGCGAUUGAAUGAGCCGAUGUCGGAUUAGCUAGUUGGCGGGGUAAAGGCCCACCAAGGCGACGAUCCGUAGCUGGUCUGAGCGGAUGAUCAGCCACACGGGAACUGAGACACGGUCCAGACUCCUACGGGAGGCAGCAGGGGGGAAUAUUGGACAAGGGGCGCAAGCCUGAUCCAGCCAGACCGCGGGGUUGAAGAAGGCCUUCGGGUGGUAAAGCCCUUUUGUUGGGAAAGAAAAGAAGCAGGUUAAUACCCCGCUGUUCGGACGGUACCCAAAGAAUAAGCACCGGCUAACUGCGU